UGCUGUUCUCUUUUCGUCUUCACCUUUCCUGGUACACGUUCAUCCUUGUGUCAUGAAUCACGAUGUCUAGUACCUGACGGGAGUUGUGGUUGUUCGUAUUCGCCCGGGUUUCGGGACGGUCCUGUGUAUUGCCAUGUUUUUCUUGUUUUAAGCAUUUUUGUAUGUAUAUUUGUAGAUCAUAUUAUGAAUGUUAAUUUUUAUGUGCCUUUUGUAUUUUACUUGGGUGAGAAUUAAUAUAUAGGGAAGUGAAGUGUUAUCAAGUGCGUUCUGGGUGGCCAGUGGUGACGUGGCCAGGGCUGUGUCGACACCAGGGUGGUGUUGGUUGUGUGGGGUGCACCUAGGCCCUGUGUUGGCCUUUGAAGAUCUCUAGAUGGACGGCACUUGGAACUGAAUCCUGAGACGAAUCAUCUUGGCAGCGCGAGACUCAAGGGACGAGGCUGAUAUGAUUGUGUGUGGCGUAAAUAACAAGCCAGCGCCAAGUACACGAGUUGGGACGAAACGACACCGUGACGCAGUGGGCCUCUGGUCUCGUGGACAGUGAUCUGCCGCAAGAGGAAGAAUGCACGUGAGUUUUGUCCUGGCCAAGGAAUUCCGGAUAACGCAGGUGUUUGGGAGAGUGGAUGAUCAGACAGGACUGAGUAGAUGCUGAGUCUCGGGAGUGAACUGUGUGGUGCAGGACUGUAGCGGUUAUGCAGUCUCUUUAUAACGAGAGACACAUCGUGGAGGAGGCUGGCGAGUGCUCUCAACACACGUGACGGAGCGGCGCCAUGGUAACUGUGACCGUGGCCAGGAAGUCUCUUGUGCUGAACACUGCAAUGUUGUGUUAUCAAGACUGUGUAUUGGUGCAGCGCAUACAGUCGGAUCACUAAGCGUGUUGUAGUGAUGAGACUAUGGCGAAUGAUUAUUGAUCGUUAGAAAAAAACUAUAGGUUUGAUAAUAAUUUAAUGCUUGAGUUACACUAACACUCCAUCACUACCGCCACCACCACCGCCAUAACCACCGCCACCACCGCCGCUAUUAAGAGUAAGUACAUGAUUCUUGUUCUCGUUAAUAGUGAUAGGAAGGAAAUAUCUCCAUUUUUCUCCCGUAUACUGUGGAAGUGCUGCCUCAACACACCGCCGCCGCCGCUAUGAGAAGUACAUGAUUCUUGUUCACCUUUAUAGUGUUGUGUUGGUGGGUGGCUGCGGCUGUGAUAGGAAGUAUUGUUACACCGUUAUGAUAGCGCUGGUUGUGUGAGUGAGGUAACAACUUGGAACAAUUCCUAGUAUUAAAGAUUAAGGUCACAUUGUUUGCUACGGAAGACCAGACGGCAUGGAAGUGGGGGGAGCGGUCUUUUGAUGAAUAAAUAAACACCAGGAAAUUAUAUUUCUUACACGUAUCGUUAAGCUGAAGUACCAUGCUUAGUAGUAAUCAAACUAAACAGUAUAAUAUCAAAUGAAAACCAUAGAUAUCCUCACCAGCACAUACACCUACGGUACGCUGAAGCCCCUGGCAUGUCUUGUGCGGCGUAAAUUAUGAAACAAGAGGGUCUGCGUGUUCCCCGUCCUGCCCUGCGGCUUAGCAAGGGGGAGUCCACUUAGACUGUUUUGAUCUGUCCCUUAAAAACUGCUUGAGUAGCAGCUGGCGGGUCCGAGGCAGGUGGCAGUAACCCAAGACGGUACAAGGACACACCUGGCGGCCUGCGUUUUGUACUAAGAGAUAAGGAAGAGUCGCUAUGAUUAAAAAACGAAUUUAAAGAUUGCUUAUGGAGAGAAAUGCGUGUGGCUGGCGUGUCAUAAGCAGCGUGUGCGUUGCUUCAGUUCAUGAUCUCGACGUCUCACCUGGCAGGCCUCUGUGUUUUAUUCCGAGAUGUAGAGGAGUCUCUGUGACCAAUGAGCGAACCAAAAACAUCGCUUAUUCAAAAUCAGUGUGUGUAGCGUGUGUCAGAAGCUUUGUGUGUGUUGAUUCUGUUCAUGACGUUGUCACACCUGCCCGGCCUGCGUCUCUGGUAAGAGAUAAACUAAAAGAUCGCUGAUGCAACGGAGGAGUGUAUUAGUUUGUCAGAAGCAGCGUGUGUUGAUUCUGUUCAUGAUCUCGUUGUCACACCUGCUUUGCCUCCACCAUAAGAGAUGACGAUGACUUGCUGUGAUUAAUGAGUUAAAUGAGCUAAAAAAUGCAACGUGUGUUGAUUCUAUCCGUAAUCUCGUUAGGCAGGAGCAGAGGCGAGGCAGGGAUGAGUCUAUAGUAUAUUCUGGCGGGACACACACCCACCCACUGCCGCCCUCAUGAAAUGUGUAUGCAUCGGUGUUAAAAAUGCAUCACAUGUUGUGCCUUUCUCUCUGUCUCUCUUUCCUUCUCUGCAUAAAUGAUGUCGAUCUAAAAAUUACUCCAUUCAACGUCAAAAGUAAUUAUUUAAACAAUUGUUUGUUUGUUUAUUCUGGACAGUAAU